UAGAUUUGACUACGGCAAUGGCAUGCUAACGACAUCCCCACAAAUCAACGAUUUGAUUGGUUAAACGAGGAAAAUUCGUGCUGCACAUGCGACACG